rnacentral:rRNA from 1 species
GAUGAACGCUGGCGGCGUGCCUAAUACAUGCAAGUCGAGCGAACAGACGAGGAGCUUGCUCCUCUGACGUUAGCGGCGGACGGGUGAGUAACACGUGGAUAACCUACCUAUAAGACUGGGAUAACUUCGGGAAACCGGAGCUAAUACCGGAUAAUAUAUUGAACCGCAUGGUUCAAUAGUGAAAGACGGUUUUGCUGUCACUUAUAGAUGGAUCCGCGCCGCAUUAGCUAGUUGGUAAGGUAACGGCUUACCAAGGCGACGAUGCGUAGCCGACCUGAGAGGGUGAUCGGCCACACUGGAACUGAGACACGGUCCAGACUCCUACGGGAGGCAGCAGUAGGGAAUCUUCCGCAAUGGGCGAAAGCCUGACGGAGCAACGCCGCGUGAGUGAUGAAGGUCUUCGGAUCGUAAAACUCUGUUAUGAGGGAAGAACAAAUGUGGAAGUAACUAUGCACGUCUUGACGGUACCUAAUCAGAAAGCCACGGCUAACUACGUG